rnacentral:lncRNA from 1 species
CUAUGGUGUGCCGGGGGCCGCGCGGGCCGGGAGUUGGGUGGGCUGGGGGACAGGCGCGCCCGCGCCGCCCGCUCCAGCUGGGCUAGUGCUGCACAUUCCGGCCAGCCCCUCCUCAAGACCCCAUUCCCAAGCCCCUUCUCAGCUCCCUCGGGCCGGCAGAGCGGCUCUGAUCAGGUAAAAUGCUGUUGAAGGCCCACGGGCAUGACUGCACCCCUCACUAAUUGGUCAUUGGUUUGGGGAGGACACCACUGUCCCAGUGGAACCUUGAGCACACCUUGGAGCCCUCCUCUUCCUCUCCGGACCUGUGCCAAACUGUGAGUGGCACAGAGCAAGGACUGUAUGUGUUCUCUUCUUUGUUGCAUACUCAGUUCCUUGACCACAGUGCCAAGCACACAGCGAGCACUCCCUGUGUAUCUGCUGAGUAAAUAAACGAAUGAACAAACCCAACACAUUUCAGCCAAGUCCUGCUGAUGUUUCUCCUCCGAUCUAGCUCCUCCUUUCCAGCCUUACUUCUGCCACUCCAGAUUUCACCCCCAUCAGCUUCAGACUGGAUAAAAGGAAACCAUUUCUCUAAAGGAUCACUUGCUCUCUCAUUUCAGGCCAUCCUGCAGCCACCAGAACCUUCCACAUGAAAUGAAAGGCUCACCACUUCAUAGGCUUUAAGGAAAUUCUUGGCCAGGUGUGGUGCCUCACUCAUGUAAUCCCAGUGCUUUAAGAGGCCAAGAUGGGAGGAUUGUUUGAGCCAGCUGUUUGAGACCAGCCUGGGCAACGUCAUGAGACCCCAUCUCCACAAAAAAAAAAAAAAAGAAAAUUGGCUGGGUGCGGUGGCUCAUGUCUGUAAUCCCAGCAAUUUUGGAGGCUGAGGCGGGUGGAUCACUUGAGGUCAGGAGUUUGAGACCAGCCUGGCCAACAUGGUGAAACCCCGUCACUACUAAAAAUACAAAAAUUAGCCAGGCGUGGCGGCAGGUGCCUGUAAUCCCAGCUACUUGCGAGGCUGAGGAAGAAUUGCGUGAACCUAGGAGGUGGAGGUUGCAGUGAGCCAAGAUCAUGCUGCUGCACUCCAGCCUGGGCAACAGAGUGAGACUCCAUCUCAAAAAUAAUAAAAAUAAAUUAAA